UGUAGAUCGAUCUUUAAAAGUUCUUUUUAUCUCGAAUAACAGUAAUUAAAUAUUUUAAUUGUAAUAAUUAAACUUGUAAAGUCUUGUUAUUUUUCUAAUCGUUCUGUUUGUUCUAUCGCUAGUGGGUCUGAGUAGUAAUAAAAGGGCUUCUACAGGUUCUUAAGACGUCCCUGAGAAGCCCUUCUUGCGGUCUUGUACUGUUAGUUUGGGCAUUAAUCUGUAAACGUCCUAGUUAGAUAGCAUCUGGCUGCAGUGGGAAAAUCAAACUCAGCAGUAUUAUUCGAUAUCGUUACGUUGACGGUUUGCCAUUAAAGAUUGGAAGCCGAAGUGAAUAAUUGUCGGAAGAUAACACCCAGAGAGCAAAGCGUGUGCAAAUAAACAGGAAGACUAAAACGUUGCUUGUGCAUUCGUUUUCUGACCUCAAAAACUACUUAGCUAGAGUCCUGAUGUGAUAAUUGGCCAUUUCUGUGCAAUGCGUGGCCUUUCUUUCUUUACACCCGCUGAGUCGCCUAGAAAUAUGUCCUCGGUAUCUCACCUGUAAGGUAAAAAAAAUAAAGUUGGUCGUUUCUAAAAGUCAAUCUUAGUUAUGUUUCCAUCAACAGCGCAGAGAGAAGAAAAAAAUAGGUUUACAGGGCCCCUACAGUUUCAUGUAACGCUGCCUGUGGUGCGAUCACGUGACGACUGCCCUAUUCGACACCCACCUGCUGCACCAAGCAUGCAACAUUCAUCAGCAAACGAUGUCGACAAGAAGCUUGCAUUUCCUACUUCGCUGCUGACGUCAUUCCGGAGGGAAUGGUGUAAAUCUUGUCAAUAGAGUUUGCUAUUUGACUCCGGUAAUAGAGUACUGUGCACAGCAAAACGAAGCCGAUUACAUGCAGAAUAAAUAUAUAUAUAUAUACAUACGUAUGAGCGCCUGUGCAUAUAUUCCUUAAUUAAAAAUGCAUAGGAGUGGAGCAAAUAUCGAAUUUUUGUAAAUUGCGUCGUGGUGGUAAACGAAGCUAUAGCGCGCUAAUUACGACCCGGGCAUGGACUUGCGGUCACGUGACCGCUAAUAACGUUGUCGAAUGCAUUAAUAAAUAAAUGCGGUAACACCGAGUGCCGGUCACGUGACCGGGAAUCAAUUGAGUUUUGCGAAACUUUCAUGCAAACCCGUAACGAAAAUAAUUUACCGAAAAUUAUUAUUUAAGCAUGGGUUUAUAUAGCGAAUAAUUUUACGUCACUCAGCGUAAAAGUCACGUAGACGCGUUAAUUUAGUCGAAUCGGGGAGGCAGCCUGCAUAAUUUAUAUGUAAUGGUACAAGCAAUAAUAAUAGAUGCCGACUCUCUCUCUCUCUACUUCUUUUAUUUGAUGAUUUUUGAAUCUGUACAUUGUUCCGAACUUGUUAAGAGGCACCAGGUGGUUGACACGAUGACAGAAGCGAAAGAAGGAUAUAUAUAAAUAUAAAAAAAAAAUCAGUCGCUGCACGUGAUCAACUCGGUGGAAGUGUAUAUAAGUGGAAGUACACACUGAUUGUUUGAUAGGUCUUUGCUGUUUGUUGAUUCCAUCGUAUUGUCUGGACAUGUUCGCUCGUUAUCCUUCAUCCAACCACUCAUUCAGUUGCUGAUUGAAAGAUCCAGCGCUUGAUAUCGACUUUUUAUCUUUUCUCUCGACGACAUUUAACCUCUAUAAAUCUAUUAAAAGUUUACUAACAACUAUAUAAGUAGAUUAACGGGUCUUUGGAGAAUUUACAAGUCGCAAAUCCGCCAUUUUAUUCGAAUUUUUUUUAUUUUUUGGACGAGGGUUGUUUUACCUUUUGUGUCUAGGUCCUUAAACCAAACUGCUGAUUGUUGCUGUUAUCAGAUCAAACUCGCGAUUAAGGAGAUACGUUCCAGUCUUUUUGUUGCUGUAGAAGUUGCAAAAACUGAAAUUGGCUUGGAUUUAUUUAAGAUCAAAUACGACGAGGAUAUUGCGAAGAUUAACUAACGAUUUUUUUGAUAAAUCGGUGCGUACAAAAGUUAAACGAAUUUUAUUCCCAUGCCACUAUAAAGGAUUAAAUUAGGAUAAUUAAUAGAAACGAGAGCAUUUUUGGUUCAUUUCGAUUGCGAAUCCUGAUGUACAGUAGAUGGAUCGAUAUUUUGUCCGGUAGAGUGUAUCGUAAAGCAAAUUUUGUUCGAUUGAUUGCAGUAAGAAGAAAGAAAGAAAAAGCGGGGGAAGAAAAAUCUUGCAAAUUUACUCAGCCGUCGAAAAUUGUUGUACCGUAUUUCAAAAGUCCUUGACUUGUAAUGAACGAUAGUCAUUAGGAAGAACCACCCUCACACAGUAUAAUAAAAUUCUUGAAUGGUAUUUUUAGUGCUGUGGUCUCUAGUUUCUCUCAGCUGAAAAUAUCUGAUGACGUCAAGGGACUCGGAACAUCAUCGAGGUGGGGGGUACCACGUGACCACUACCCCUGGGUAGAAGCCAACUCCAUGUUGAACUAUUAUUGAAGCGUUUCUUUUCAGUUUUCUAACUAUUGGACCUAAGUACGUGUAUGGAUGUUGUCAAGUUGAUUUUUAGUAUCUGGCAGGCCGUUAAAAUGCUCUUAAGACGAGGAGGGGAAAAAAAUUGUUAAAGAAACAAGACGAAGGAAGAACGAUUUAUUAGCAUCUUUGCGGGGUUCUACUGACACGGAUACUGAAUGAUUGAAUAUUGUUUUUCUUACUUGUUAAACUUUUAAAGUUCGUUUACCUUCUAUAAGCUUUCUCUUCGCGCAUUUUAUACUGUAUUAUAAAUGCCG
rnacentral:lncRNA from 1 species